rnacentral:rRNA from 1 species
GACGAACGCUGGCGGCGUGCCUAAUACAUGCAAGUCGAACGCAGUGGGGACGGGUGAGUAACACGUGGGUAACCUCCCCAUCAGAGGGGAUAACACUUGGAUAAAGGUGCUAAACCGAUACUGAUUGAUGGACCCGCGGGGCAGUAGCUAGUUGGUGAGGUAACGGCUCACCAAGGCAACGAUGCAUAGCCGGCUUGAGAGGGUGAUCAGCCACACUGGGACUGAGACACGGCCCAGACUCCUACGGGAGGCAGCAGUAGGGAAUCUUGGGCAAUGGGCGAAAGUCUGACCGAGCAAGGCCGCGUGAGUGAAGAAGGUUUUCGGGUUGUAAAGCUCUUUUGUUAGAGAAGCGGUAUCUAACGAGAAAGCCACGGCUAACUACGUGCCAGCCGCCGCGGUAAUAC